rnacentral:lncRNA from 10 species
CACCAACAUGUCAGGUUUAUUUCUCCUUCGCUCUCAACUGAGAGCGGGGCAUCCAAAUCAUAACAAAACCAGGGCCCAAGAGUGGGAAGCGGCCCCCUGGGUGGGCCUGAACCCCAAUUUCACCCUUCCCCCGGGCAUAGGGCCCAGGCCCACGGGGCGGAGGCAGCACCAACAUUGGGGAUGGUCCCCCAAGAACAGAGGAGGAAGCCCAGCCUCCGGCAGGCAGUAUCCACAUCCACGCCCACCUGCUCAGGCCUGCAGCCUCCAGACCU